UACGUAGGGUGCAAGCGUUGUCCGGAAUUAUUGGGCGUAAAGAGCUCGUAGGCGGUUUGUCGCGUCUGCUGUGAAACCCGAGGCUCAACCUCGGGCCUGCAGUGGGUACGGGGCAGACUAGAGUGAUGUAGGGGAGACUGGAAUUCCUGGUGUAGCGGUGAAAUGCGCAGAUAUCAGGAGGAACACCGAUGGCGAAGGCAGGUCUCUGGGCAUUAACUGACGCUGAGGAGCGAAAGCAUGGGGAGCGAACAGG
rnacentral:rRNA from 1 species